rnacentral:rRNA from 1 species
AUGCAUCGACUCUUGGCCGUGGCGCGCUCUCGUGGCAAGAGGAGGCAGGGCAGCGAACGAAGUGAGCCGGUGGAUCAUUUCGGAUUCGGACGGAAAUAUACAGGAGUUGCCAUGUCACUAUUCAGCAGGCGCUACGUGCCAUGGAUUAUGGACCGGAAUCGAUCGGCGGCUGGUUGGCUUCUAUUUGAUGCCACGCAUGUGUCGCUGCAGUGCAGUGCAACUGUAGAGCGAACAAGUAAAACCGAGCGAGUAAACAGAAUCGCGAUGGAGACUGGUCUCGAAGCCACCCUGUUCUCCGAACACCUGGCGCGCCGCCCGGCGGCCGCCUUCUGCUACCUGUCGCAGUCCCCCGAGGUCAUCGCCGCGGAGCGCGCCCUCCUCGUCACCGUGGCCGGCUGUCGUUCGGGCGUGUCCGGUGACGAGGUCGCCGCCGUCCUUCGCUCCCAGUUCGGGCUCGCCGAGGCUGACUUCUCGGUCUACAAGCACGCAUCAGAGGAUUUCCUGGUCAGCUCUAUGGCAUCCCCGAUCACGCCUGGCUGCGGUCCUCCGCCGAGACCCUCCUCUCGCCCUUCUGCAAGGUGGAGAACCUUCGCCCCCGAGACGCGAAACAUGUCCGACAUGUCCGUCUUCAAGCUCACCGCCUGGACGCUCAACCCCGACGCCAUCCCGCGCACCGCCGAGCUCCUCCUCCCCGACGAGGAUGCGGUGUUGCCUGAUGCUGACCAGGACCGCGCGGAGCGCCUCGCCCUGGGGCUGGCCCGGUUCCCUGUUCGCAUUCACGUCACGGAAUGCGUCGACUUCCGCCGGCCGCCGCUGCCAUCGCCCCCGCCGCCGGAGUCCGAUGACCUCGACCAUGCGCCGGACUCCCCACCGCUCCCCCCAAGCUGGCCGCAGCACCACGUGUUCCCCCCGGCUUGUUGCAGCGCGGCUCGCCCGCCGGGUGAUGGCUGUGGCCGCCGACGACGCCGCCGCCGUGCGCAUGCGCCCCCGCCAUGCCGGUUCUGGGUUGGCAUCCUCGGGGCCCACCCCGGUGCCGUGGCCGACGUCACGCGGGUCUCCGCCCGCCUGCGAUUGGGCGCGCCCGCUGUCCCUGCAUCACCUCUGGCCCACCAUGACUCGCAGACUGCGCGUGUCCCGCCGCCAGCUGUCGAGCCUGUGUUGGCCCCCCUGGUGCCUCGGCCCGCCUCGGACCACGCGACCCCGCCCAUGCUCCCUGAUCAUGCGGCCCCACCCCUGCAUGUCGUCCCUGCCACGGCGGAUGCGCCUGCACCGUUUCUUGUGCCUUCCGCCCAACGGGCAGCUGCCGACACACAUGCAGGCGUAUCUUCACCUGGCCCCACCUGCGAUCUGGUCGCGGCCUCGGAUCCGUUGCUCGGCCAACCGACGAACUCGCUUAUCCCGGUGACCGAGCCCGACGCAUCCCCUGCUCCAGCUGCAGAUUCUCCUGGCCCCGCACAUGCCGACAACGCCGCCUCGGCGGGCCCCGCGGAUCCCCCGCGCGCCCCGAUCGCCUCAUUGGCUGCAUGUGGCCCGCCCCCAGAUGUCUCUCCCAUGCACGACCGUUCGCCUGCCUUGGAUCCCAGUUGCGCGUCGGCCUCCCUCUCGUCACCUGGUGCCGCAUCCUCUGUCGCCGUGCAUGCCGCUGCAGACAGCAGCUCCAACUCCCUGGCUGUGUUCGUGGACGGGAUCUCCGUCCGCUCCCAGCCCAUCCUCACGGCGCCACCGCGCCGCCGUCGCCGCGAGCUGCCCGCGGACUUUACCCCCCGUCGGAGUUUCCAGAUUGCCAAGGCUGACCAGGGCCUUGACUCAGAGAUGAAAGCCAAACGGGUUCUUCUUCGCCGCCUGGGGCUGAUCAAGGAUGACAGCGCGCCCAUCCCGCGGGACACACUCGACAAAUACGCUCACUUGUUCGAGAAACCUUUGGCGGAGGAUGUGCUCGAGGCGUUUGCGGAUUUCUUUGGUUGGAACCUCCCUGGACGAUUUCCGGCCGCUUUCCCCGUCCGAGACGUGGCUCAGGCGCAAGCUCAAAGGCGCAUACCUAGGGUUGGCUUCCCUCGAGUGAUCCAUCAAGCGCCAGCGAUCACGCAUAUCUUGGCUCCGCGACUCCCCACUCUACUACCGCAGCGCACACUGAUCUCCUCCCUCCGCGUCGACGGCCAUCUGGUCACCGAGCACGCCGCCAUGGUCGAGGCGGCCUUCGACUACUUCUCCGGUGUCCUUGGCUCAUCGAAUGAGCGCGCCUUCUCCCUGGACCAAUCUGCCGUGCGGGCGCGGGCGCGGGCUGCAUCUCAGGGAGGCGCCACCUUAAGCUCGCUUGGCGACUGCAUUAAGGGGGGAGAAGAAAAUACUUGGCAACCUUGUUCCGUCGGCUGGGCUUAUCCGACCACCAGCAGCCAGCACCAGCAGGGCCCGGAGCAGUGGGGCCUAGCCGGCCGGCAAAGGUCAUCUCGAGACCAGCCACAAGCCUUCGUGGCCCAACGAAAGUGGGCGUUUAGAUGGUGGAGCAACUUGUCGGCUCGUCGUCGUCAGGACGGCAAGGCCGGGCGCCGGCUGGUCGCCUCGUGCACCAACCGCCGCCAGCUCUUGAGGCCCUCAAGGGCUGAUUUUAACACAAAUGGCCGUGACCUCGGUUGGAGUCUUAUCCGUCUACUCACGCCCGAUCGUGCUUAUCUGGGCGCCAAAUCGACUGCGUGCUCGGUCCUCAUCAUUGCCACACAGUAA